rnacentral:rRNA from 1 species
AGAGUUUGAUCAUGGCUCAGAACGAACGCUGGUGGCGUGUCUUAUACAUGCAAGUCGAGCGAGGCAGCAAUGCCGAGCGGCGAACGGGUGAGUAACGCGUAAGCAAUCUGCCCCAUAUCAGGAAAUACCCGUGCCAACGCGCGGUUAAUGUCCAGGAGAGUGGCCCUCUGCAUGGAGGGUUGACUAGAGAUUUAUCGGUAUGGGAUGAGCUUGCGUCCGAUUAGCUAGUUGGCGGGCAACGGCCCACCAAGGCGACGAUCGGUAGCCGGCCUGAGAGGGUGAUCGGCCACAGUUGGACUGAGAUACCGGCCCAGACUCCGUACGGGAGGCAGCAGGUAGGGAAUAUUGCACAUGGGGAAACCCUGAUGCAGCAACGCCACGUGUUGGGAAGAAGCAUUUCGGUGUGUAAACCACUGUCAUGAGGGAAUAAGGCCCGCCUUCGGACGGGAUUGAAUGUACCUUGAGAGGAAGCACCGGCAAACUUCGUGCCAGCAGCAGC